GAUUGUCAACUACAAAACGUUUGACUUUAAUGAGGUCCAAUCACAUAAUACAAUUUUUGUUGUUGCCUCAAGAUCUUCAACAGCUCCAUCUAUUAAGUCAAAACCACUCGCACUGGCACCACCAAUGGAACAAGCAGAAGAACAACCUCUGUAAUCACCAAUCAAACACCAAAUUGCUAGAGAACUCUUCUCAAACUCUACACCAUACAAGUCACCACCACCAAAGGAGAAGAGUCACCAACCAAGAAAUACAAAACCAGGUUACAUUGAUAAAUACCUCAUUUCUUUGAUCCAUUAUUGAUUCAAAGACACUUACAUACCAUUUGUCUUAAUUUAUUUGUUACUGCUUCAAAGUGAUUCAUUAUAUAAUUUUUUCCCUUCAAUAAAAUAAUGUACAACUUGAACAAGAAAAUAUGUUUGUUAUAAUUAAUGGGUGCAUUUUUUCAUACUUCUUUCCUUAUUGUUGUUUACAAAAAAUAGAUCAUUAUUGAGAUUUUAAGUUAAGAUGCUACUAUUUGUUUACAUAUCUUUAGUGGUUAAUUUCGAUGUUUGAUGCAAAAUUCUAUUUUUAUUUUUGUGUUCAUCAUGGAUAAUAAGAUUAUUCAUAACAUAAUUAACCUAUUCACUCCAUUGUUAAAUAUUUCACCUUUUCUUGAACCUACCAUUAUUAGUUGAUUGUGAAUUUUUAUCAAACUUAGUUUAGAACUUCUUAAUUACAAUUUUGAGACUUUUUCGUUGACAUAAUUGUAAAGACUUGAAAUAUACUUGCAUAUUCUUUCUUUAAUUUUCUUUAUUACUGAAAUCCACAUUCACUACAUUGUCUCACAAAAAGUUAAAGUGGAUUCCUUUUGCAAAUCUAUUAUUGAUUAUUUUAUAUUCAAAAAGAUUUCAAGUUUCUAGUUUCAAAAUAUUCCUUCUUUAUUGCUUAAAGGCUGAUAACUCUUACAUCAUUUACUAUCACAAAUCUUUGUUAACUAAUAUUGUAACACAUGAUCACCAUAUAUAUUUCAUUUCCAUGACUACUUACCUUUACACUAUAUACACAAUUUACUUUUGUUUAAUGUUUGCUUGUGCAACUGUUCGUUCUGCUAAUUUCUACUCACUAUUAUUAUCUGAUUUGUCUUGACACUUUAACCGAUCAGCUCAUUACAAUAACUAAGUUUCAACUUCUCUUUUAAUCUCCACAGAGCAUCCUCAAAAACAACUCAGCCAUCCAAUGACAACUGCACUGAAGACUCUUUGUCCAACCUUGAAUAGCAAGAAAUUCUACAACUUAGAUCACUAACAUGCCGAAAACUACAUUAUAUUUUUUAUUCAUAGGCAUGAUCGAAAAUUGAACAUUGUGAUGUUCACUUUUGAAUGAGCACAAAGGUCUACA
rnacentral:lncRNA from 1 species